rnacentral:rRNA from 1 species
UACGUAGGGGGCUAGCGUUGUCCGGAAUCAUUGGGCGUAAAGGGCGCGUAGGCGGCCUGCUAAGUCGGAUGUGAAAUCCCUCGGCUCAACCGAGGAACUGCAUCCGAUACUGGCGGGCUUGAAUCCGGGAGAGGGAUGUGGAAUUCCAGGUGUAGCGGUGAAAUGCGUAGAUAUCUGGAGGAACACCAAUUGCGAAGGCAGCUCGCUGGGACGUUACUGACGCUGAGACGCGAAAGCGUGGGGAGCAAACAGG